GCCCGGUUAGCUCAGUUGAUAGAACAUGGGACUCUUGAUCUCAGGAUCAUGGGAUUGAGCCCCAUGCUGGUUG